AGUGAACGCUGGCGGUAGGCCUAACACAUGCAAGUCGAACGGCAGCACAGUAAGAGCUUGCUCUUACGGGUGGCGAGUGGCGGACGGGUGAGGAAUACAUCGGAAUCUACUUUUUCGUGGGGGAUAACGUAGGGAAACUUACGCUAAUACCGCAUACGACCUACGGGUGAAAGCAGGGGAUCUUCGGACCUUGCGCGAUUGAAUGAGCCGAUGUCGGAUUAGCUAGUUGGCGGGGUAAAGGCCCACCAAGGCGACGAUCCGUAGCUGGUCUGAGAGGAUGAUCAGCCACACUGGAACUGAGACACGGUCCAGGCUCCUACGGGAGGCAGCAGUGGGGAAUAUUGGACAAUGGGCGCAAGCCUGAUCCAGCCACACCGCGUGGGUGAAGAAGGCCUUCGGGUUGUAAAGCCCUUUUGUUGGGAAAGAAAAGCAGCAGGUUAAUACCCCGCUGUUCUGACGGUACCCAAAGAAUAAGCACCGGCUAACUUCGUG
rnacentral:rRNA from 1 species